rnacentral:rRNA from 1 species
CGCUAAUACCGCAUACGUCCUAGCAGGGAGAAAGUGGGGGAUCUUCGGACCUCACGCUAUCAGAUGAGCCUAGGUCGGAUUAGCUAGUUGGUGGGGUAAAGGCCUACCAAGGCGACGAUCCGUAACUGGUCUGAGAGGAUGAUCAGUCACACUGGAACUGAGACACGGUCCAGACUCCUACGGGAGGCAGCAGUGGGGAAUAUUGGACAAUGGGCGAAAGCCUGAUCCAGCCAUGCCGCGUGUGUGAAGAAGGUCUUCGGAUUGUAAAGCACUUUAAGUUGGGAGGAAGGGCAGUAAGUUAAUACCUUGCUGUUUUGACGUUACCAACAGAAUAAGCACCGGCUAACUUCGUGCCAGCAGCCGCGGUAAUACGAAGGGUGCAAGCGUUAAUCGGAAUUACUGGGCGUAAAGCGCGCGUAGGUGGUUCAUCAAGUUGGAUGUGAAAUCCCCGGGCUCAACCUGGGAACUGCAUCCAAAACUACUGAGCUAGAGUACGGUAGAGGGUGGUGGAAUUUCCUGUGUAGCGGU